rnacentral:rRNA from 1 species
AAUCAACGCUGGCGGCGUGCCUCAGACAUGCAAGUCGAACGCGAAAGUCCCCCUUCGGGGGGCAAGUAGAGUGGCGCACGGGUGAGUAACACGUAGGUAAUCUACCUUUGGAUGGGGAAUAACAACCGGAAACGGUUGCUAAUACCGCAUAAUGCAGCGGCACCUAAUGGUGACAGUUGUUAAAGCGGGGGAUCGAAAGACCUCGCGUCUGAAGAGGAGCCUGCGGCGGAUUAGCUAGNGGUAAGGUAACGGCUUACCAAGGCGACGAUCCGUAGCCGGCCUGAGAGGGCGGUCGGCCACGCUGACACUGACAUACGGGUCAGACUCCUACGGGA